rnacentral:rRNA from 1 species
UGGCGGUGGUCAGCUCGUUUUUGAAUUGUUGGGUUAAGUCCGUCACCGAGCGCAACCCUUAUCUUUUGUUGCCAGCGGUUCGGGCGGGCACUCUAAGGAGACUGCCAGUGACAAACUGGAGGAAGGUGGGGAUGACGUCAAGUCAUCAUGGCCCUUACGAGCUGGGCUACACACGUGCUACAAUGGUCGAUACAAAGAGUUGCGAACUCGCGAGGGCGAGCUAAUCUCAUAAAACCGAUCGUAGUCCGGAUUGCAGUCUGCAACUCGACUGCAUGAAGUCGGAAUCGCUAGGAAUCGUGAAUCAGA